rnacentral:rRNA from 1 species
UACGGAGGGAGCUAGCGUUAUUCGGAAUUACUGGGCGUAAAGCGCACGUAGGCGGAUCGUUAAGUCGGGGGUGAAAUCCUGGAGCUCAACUCCAGAACUGCCUUCGAUACUGGCGAUCUUGAGUCCGGAAGAGGUGAGUGGAACUCCUAGUGUAGAGGUGGAAUUCGUAGAUAUUAGGAAGAACACCAGUGGCGAAGGCGGCUCACUGGUCCGGUACUGACGCUGAGGUGCGAAAGCGUGGGGAGCAAACAGG